rnacentral:rRNA from 1 species
UACGUAGGGUCCGAGCGUUGUCCGGAAUUACUGGGCGUAAAGAGCUCGUAGGUGGUUUGUCGCGUUGUUCGUGAAAACUCACAGCUUAACUGUGGGCGUGCGGGCGAUACGGGCAGACUUGAGUACUGCAGGGGAGACUGGAAUUCCUGGUGUAGCGGUGGAAUGCGCAGAUAUCAGGAGGAACACCGGUGGCGAAGGCGGGUCUCUGGGCAACAACUGACGCUGAGGAGCGAAAGCGUGGGGAGCGAACAGG